rnacentral:misc_RNA from 1 species
UACGUAGGUGGCAAGCGUUGUCCGGAAUUAUUGGGCGUAAAGCGCGCGCAGGCGGUUCCUUAAGUCUGAUGUGAAAGCCCGUGGCUCAACCACGGAGGGCCAUUGGAAACUGGGGAACUUGAGAACUGAAGAGGAGAGUGGAAUUCCACGUGUAGCGGUGAAAUGCGUAGAUAUGUGGAGGAACACCAGUGGCGAAGGCGACUCUCUGGUCGGUUUCUGACGCUGAGGUGCGAAAGCUAGGGGAGAGAACGGG